ACAUACAUAUGUAUGUAUGAAAUGUGUGAAUGCAAUGAUGAUGAGUAGUAUGUAUGUACGUAAAAUACAAACCGAUUUAUCUACAUACAUAAUCUUAUGUACUCAAUAUAUUUCCAUCCAUUUAUGUAUGUAUGAAUGUGCUUUUUGAACACACAGUGACAGCAACCAAAACAAGGCAGUUAAAUGAAAAAAAACAAGGAAAAAUAUAUCUGAAAACGAAAGCUCGAAACAACAAUAAAAAUAGCUCAGCACCGUUCUGUUUAGAUGAAAAUGAAAUGAAAACACAUUCAGACUUUUAUACUACAGUUGUGUUAAUAUAUGUACUUAUUGUAUGUAUGUGUGUAUGUUAUACACAUAUGUGCGCUGGAUCCAAAUAUAAACUUUGUGGGGGAGAUCAUGUGACUUGACUCCGGACAGGCUGGCUAGAUGGUUCGCUUCUGUAUGAAGUUACUGUGGGUAAAUUAACGAAAAGUGACUAAUGUGAAGAUACAAAUUUGUUACAAAAAAAAGUUCACACAUUCAUAUGUACAUAGACUAAAAUUUCCUUCAGCAAAUGUGUGUUUUAAAUAGUAUCCGUAUUCACCAAGAUGCUGUGGAAUUUUACUAGCAACAAGACAUCUUCUCUCCACCGGCAUUUUGGUGACACAAUAGCGAAAAGAAGCUGCAUAAAUCUCUCCGUGCUUCGGAAGUUGUUAAAAAUUCUGAUUCACUGAAGAAAAUCUGGUCGGCUUACAAUUUCCAAUUUAGACAAUCACUGAUUUUACAGCCCAAAGUUAAACGUAGCAUGUUGCGUAAUCUUGACCAUACAUAAUCGAACAAGGGCCUUAAAAGGAUAGGGGAUAAGAAUAUAUUAUGUUGUAUUUUUAGCAGCUGUUACUUGAACUAAAAUUCUUUGUAUAUACAUAUGUACAUAUAUACUAUAUGUAAUAUAUACAUAUAUAUAUACAAGUCAAAUAAAGCA